CAGUAGCCACGGUAAAACGAAGGGUGCAAGCGUUAAUCGGAAUUACUGGGCGUAAAGCGUGCGUAGGCGGUGAGUUAAGUCUGCUGUGAAAUCCCCGGGCCCAACCUGGGAAUGGCAGUGGAUACUGGCUCGCUAGAGUGUGUCAGAGGAUGGUGGAAUUCCCGGUGUAGCGGUGAAAUGCGUAGAGAUCGGGAGGAACAUCAGUGGCGAAGGCGGCCAUCUUGGACAACACUGACGCUGAGGCACGAAAGCGUGGGGAGCAAACAGGAUUAGAUACCCGGGUAGUCCCUGUCUCUUAUAC
rnacentral:rRNA from 1 species